rnacentral:snRNA from 1 species
AGCUUUGUGCACUGGCAGUAUCAUAGCCAAUGAGGUUUACCCAAGGCACAAUAAUUGCUAACUGCAAACAGCAUAAAACCAACUGCCGAAAAAAUGCUUCGUGUUCCUUUACUAAAGAAGACACAUGAGGCCAACAAACAUAUGAAAAAAUGCUCAUC